rnacentral:rRNA from 1 species
AGUGAACGCUGGCGGUAGGCCUAACACAUGCAAGUCGAACGGCAGCACAGGAGAGCUUGCUCUCUGGGUGGCGAGUGGCGGACGGGUGAGGAAUACAUCGGAAUCUACUCUGUCGUGGGGGAUAACGUAGGGAAACUUACGCUAAUACCGCAUACGACCUACGGGUGAAAGCAGGGGAUCUUCGGACCUUGCGCGAUUGAAUGAGCCGAUGUCGGAUUAGCUAGUUGGCGGGGUAAAGGCCCACCAAGGCGACGAUCCGUAGCUGGUCUGAGAGGAUAAUCAGCCACACUGAAACUGAGACACGGUCCAGACUCCUACGGGAGGCAGCAGUGGGGAAUAUUGGACAAUGGGCGCAAGCCUGAUCCAGCCAUACCGCGUGGGUGAAGAAGGCCUUCGGGUUGUAAAGCCCUUUUGUUGGGAAAGAAAUCCAGCUGGCUAAUACCCGGUUGGGAUGACGGUACCCAAAGAAUAAGCACCGGCUAACUUCGUGCCAGCAGCCGCCGUAA